UAUAUAUCCUCAACCCAGUGAACAGCGGCACCGUGGCUUGCUUGCGAAGCUGGCGCUAACUCCAUCGGCGUCCCAGUUUCCAUUUCGCAUAAACCCUAACCCUCAUUUUCUCUAAUCGCAGAACCAAAUCCGGAGCUCUCUCAAUCCCCUUCUCCUGCUGUGCCUUCUCAAUCACCGCUGAAGCCCGAUUUAUAGCAGUUGGGUCUAGAAUCGAGGAUUUGGAUCAAUCUCAGUUGGAGAUAAUGCAAAGGCUUCAAGGAUUGAAACUGAUUUUGUAGAACUGGAGGUCAAAUCUGGACAAUCAAGUCAAGAUCUACAAGGAUGUGAGUGUUUCUGGACAAUCUACACUAUCAAGUCACUUGGGAAUCUAUCUAAAUUGCAAUCCCUCCAUCUUAACAAUAAUUCCUUGAUGGGUCAAAUUCCUACAUCGCUAACAAAUAUCACCACACUCCAAGUCUUGUCUGCUUAAUUUGAAUCAUAUGGCCAACUUGCUGAUGGUUCUUUAGUGGCAGUAAAAAGGUUAAAAGAAGAGCGCACACCAAGUGGUGGGCUUCAAUUUCAGUCAGAAGUAAAGAUGAUUAGCAUGGUUGUGCACCGAAACUUGCUUCAUCUUUGUGGAUUUUGCAUGACACCUAAAGAACGGCUGCUUGUUUACCCAUUUAUGGCUAAUGGAAGUGUUGCAUCAUGCCUAAGUGGUACUUCUAAUUUUUUCCAUUAUUUGGUGCAUACUGAGUAUGUAGACAUCCGCAACUGUGUGAUCUAUUUUCUUUCUCCGAGUCACUGAAAUUGUAACCUAUUACAUCAUGCUUAAAUUCUGGCCAUUCACAUUUGAUUAGCAUGUUUUCUAGUGCAACAUAUUUUAGUAUUUUGAUUGGAUUUUGAUUGGCAUUAGAAAACCAGUGAAAGUUAGUGAAGAUUUGGGGGUUUAUGUUCUUUAUUUUCUAGGCCUAAAAGCAGCCACCUUAUAUUGCCUACACAUGGACGUUUGUGUCAUCACAAACGUGCUCAUGAUCAAUAAUUUAAGAGCAAAUUUGCCUUUCCUAUUUUAAGAUAAAAAUGGAUAAAUCAUGACCUAUUAAAUGAUUGUUCAAAAUCAAUAAAGCUAAAAGAGGCACAAAUUGGCUAAUAUAAACUGGAAAUGAUGAGCUCAUAAUUAUACUCUUUAUGAUUAAUCCAGUGAAAAACCUUUAAAUCAAACAAGACUCACUAUCCCAUUUUUCAUUUGGUAUGUUCUAUUAUUAGUAAAUGCCUUUCAAUGUUUGAUGGAAACUCAUUGUGUGGCCAUGUUGGCAUUAAUUAACUCCUGUUCAUAAAAUCCUGGAAUAACAAAACAAAUGGAAAUUAUGGGUGGUUUCAUUUUAUGGGUGAAAUGCAUAAUACUUUAUUUCUUGAUGAAUUUCUUUAAAUGCUAGUAAAUUCAUCUAUCCAUCUUAUGGUAUAUUCCAAUUCUGUUUUUCUAGCGUGCUAGUUCUUAAGAUGAGGACUAUGAUUUGUUUAUAUAUUAUAAGAAAGAUCAUUUAGGAGAGUUGUUAAAACCUGCUUUGAGGAAACAAUUGUGAUUUGUAUAGAUCAUCUACUCAUACAGGUAGAGACUAGUUUGACUGUAUAUAAUAGAAUAUGAAUGACUCAGAUUUAAGCAAAAUGGGUUCAUGUUUUUUUGCUCUCUUAUUGUCCCUAUUUCUUCCAUGUUGUCUCCUUACAAAUUUGUGUAUGCAUGUGAGAUAUCACUGACCUCAGAGUAAAUCCAUAUUAGGUUUUUCAGUAGGCUAGAUUCCAUGUGGAGCUUGUGUAAAAUUUAACUAGUAUAUUGCUUGAGUUAUGCAUCAGGCCUUAGUUUCUGACUUAUUACUGAUACAUGCUGAUUGAAGACUAUCUUGUUGAUCAUUUGGAUGAUACUGAAGAAAGAGUUCAUCAGGUAUUAUUUACCUUUUAUUUCUAGCUGUUGUUUUUAGUUCUUACGUUGCAUUCCAUUAAGUUACUCUCGUGGUACUGUUGAGGACAAAUAUGUUGACUAUCUUUCUCUUGUUAAAUGAGGACAAAAAUGUUAACAAGUGGGUUAUGGGCAAUGUUCGAUUACCUGAAGAUUGAUGAUGUGUCUAAGAAAACAUUAUUUUGCUAGGAAUUAUGAUAGAUGUAAGGGAUUGAGAAAUAAGUUUAGUUUGACUGACCAUUACAUUGAUGGGAUAUUGUUAGUAAAACACAUGCAGACCUGCAUGGCUUUCUUGGGAGAUGACUUCUAUAUUUGCAUAUUCUUUAUUCCCCACUGACCAUUACAUUGAUGGAAUAUUUUUCGAUGCUAAUAGAUGAUAAUGUUUGUUCACUGACAUAAAUCGUUACAAAAGAAUGAAAUGUAAACCUUUUGUAACUUUAAAUAUAUUUAGAUCAUAUUAUAUGGGUUUUUAGUCCAAUGGUAAUUUGUUUGUGCUUGUGCAUUCAAUUCUUUAAGUAUAUAAAUGCGUCGUAUAUGCGCAUAUUCUUUAUUCCCCACUUUUUAGAUUAAAAAAUAU